UGCCAUUUCCUCUUCCAGCAUAUAGAGUAUUGAAGAAGAAGAAGUUGACUUUCAGCUAUGCUUCAAUCUAGAAAGUUCUAGAAGGUUGCUGUCUAUGGUCCAUUGAACGUUCUACCAAGAUAAAGACAACUUCUUGACUUCUUAAUUCAGCCUGCAAGAUCCUACAUGGUCUGGCCUCCAGACUUCCCUUCCUCUUUCAUCUUGCAAUCCUAUUUCAUUUGGUCUCUCCUCCUCUGUCCUUCAUGUCAUCUUUCUGUCCUUUAUCUUUUUUCAUAUUCCCUCUUGCCACAGGGUCUUUGCGCAUAUUACCUUGAAUGAUCUCCCAUCAUUUCUCAGUCUAAUUCCCACUUUUCUU